rnacentral:rRNA from 1 species
UUUAUGGGGUGACUGCGUACCUUUUGUAUAAUGGGUCAGCGACUUAUAUUCUGUAGCAAGGUUAACCGAAUAGGGGAGCCGAAGGGAAACCGAGUCUUAACUGGGCGUUAAGUUGCAGGGUAUAGACCCGAAACCCGGUGAUCUAGCCAUGGGCAGGUUGAAGGUUGGGUAACACUAACUGGAGGACCGAACCGACUAAUGUUGAAAAAUUAGCGGAUGACUUGUGGCUGGGGGUGAAAGGCCAAUCAAACCGGGAGAUAGCUGGUUCUCCCCGAAAGCUAUUUAGGUAGCGCCUCGUGAAUUCAUCUCCGGGGGUAGAGCACUGUUUCGGCAAGGGGGUCAUCCCGACUUACCAACCCGAUGCAAACUGCGAAUACCGGAGAAUGUUAUCACGGGAGACACACGGCGGGUGCUAACGUCCGUCGUGAAGAGGGAAACAACCCAGACCGCCAGCUAAGGUCCCAAAGUCAUGGUUAAGUGGGAAACGAUGUGGGAAGGCCCAGACAGCCAGGAUGUUGGCUUAGAAGCAGCCAUCAUUUAAAGAAAGCGUAAUAGCUCACUGGUCGAGUCGGCCUGCGCGGAAGAUGUAACGGGGCUAAACCAUGCACCGAAGCUGCGGCAGCGACGCUUAUGCGUUGUUGGGUAGGGGAGCGUUCUGUAAGCCUGUGAAGGUGUACUGUGAGGCAUGCUGGAGGUAUCAGAAGUGCGAAUGCUGACAUAAGUAACGAUAAAGCGGGUGAAAAGCCCGCUCGCCGGAAGACCAAGGGUUCCUGUCCAACGUUAAUCGGGGCAGGGUGAGUCGACCCCUAAGGCGAGGCCGAAAGGCGUAGUCGAUGGGAAACAGGUUAAUAUUCCUGUACUUGGUGUUACUGCGAAGGGGGGACGGAGAAGGCUAUGUUGGCCGGGCGACGGUUGUCCCGGUUUAAGCGUGUAGGCUGGUUUUCCAGGCAAAUCCGGAAAAUCAAGGCUGAGGCGUGAUGACGAGGCACUACGGUGCUGAAGCAACAAAUGCCCUGCUUCCAGGAAAAGCCUCUAAGCAUCAGGUAACAUCAAAUCGUACCCCAAACCGACACAGGUGGUCAGGUAGAGAAUACCAAGGCGCUUGAGAGAACUCGGGUGAAGGAACUAGGCAAAAUGGUGCCGUAACUUCGGGAGAAGGCACGCUGAUAUGUAGGUGAAGCGACUUGCUCGUGGAGCUGAAAUCAGUCGAAGAUACCAGCUGGCUGCAACUGUUUAUUAAAAACACAGCACUGUGCAAACACGAAAGUGGACGUAUACGGUGUGACGCCUGCCCGGUGCCGGAAGGUUAAUUGAUGGGGUUAGCGGUAACGCGAAGCUCUUGAUCGAAGCCCCGGUAAACGGCGGCCGUAACUAUAACGGUCCUAAGGUAGCGAAAUUCCUUGUCGGGUAAGUUCCGACCUGCACGAAUGGCGUAAUGAUGGCCAGGCUGUCUCCACCCGAGACUCAGUGAAAUUGAACUCGCUGUGAAGAUGCAGUGUACCCGCGGCAAGACGGAAAGACCCCGUGAACCUUUACUAUAGCUUGACACUGAACAUUGAGCCUUGAUGUGUAGGAUAGGUGGGAGGCUUUGAAGUGUGGACGCCAGUCUGCAUGGAGCCGACCUUGAAAUACCACCCUUUAAUGUUUGAUGUUCUAACGUUGGCCCCUGAUCGGGGUUGCGGACAGUGUCUGGUGGGUAGUUUGACUGGGGCGGUCUCCUCCUAAAGAGUAACGGAGGAGCACGAAGGUUGGCUAAUCCUGGUCGGACAUCAGGAGGUUAGUGCAAUGGCAUAAGCCAGCUUGACUGCGAGCGUGACGGCGCGAGCAGGUGCGAAAGCAGGUCAUAGUGAUCCGGUGGUUCUGAAUGGAAGGGCCAUCGCUCAACGGAUAAAAGGUACUCCGGGGAUAACAGGCUGAUACCGCCCAAGAGUUCAUAUCGACGGCGGUGUUUGGCACCUCGAUGUCGGCUCAUCACAUCCUGGGGCUGAAGUAGGUCCCAAGGGUAUGGCUGUUCGCCAUUUAAAGUGGUACGCGAGCUGGGUUUAGAACGUCGUGAGACAGUUCGGUCCCUAUCUGCCGUGGGCGCUGGAGAACUGAGGGGGGCUGCUCCUAGUACGAGAGGACCGGAGUGGACGCAUCACUGGUGUUCGGGUUGUCAUGCCAAUGGCACUGCCCGGUAGCUAAAUGUGGAAGAGAUAAGUGCUGAAAGCAUCUAAGCACGAAACUUGCCCCGAGAUGAGUUCUCCCUGAGACUUUAAGUCUCCUGAAGGAACGUUGAAGACGACGACGUUGAUAGGCCGGGUGUGUAAGCGCAGCGAUGCGUUGAGCUAACCGGUACUAAUGAACCGUGAGGCUUAACCUU